rnacentral:tRNA from 1 species
UAUGGCUCAGUGGUAGAGUGCUUGCCUAGCAUGUAUGAGGCAUUGGGUUCAAUUCUCAGUA